rnacentral:tRNA from 1 species
GGGGAUUUAGGGUAGCUUGGCAUCCUAGCUGGCUCCAGACCAGCCGACCUGGGUUCGAAUCCCAGAGUCCCCA